UAUNUAUCCAAAACGGCCAGCGAAUAGGCUUAGAAGCGGCCAUUUUCUGAAGACCUCGUAACAGAGCACUGGUAUUGUUUUAAUGAUAAUAGUGAUAAAAGCACCGAUAAUUUAACGGAUCUAAACAAUAUACCGAGACCUUGUCCAAAUAUAUUAAUGUAUCUAAAUUUUACAUUGUAUAUUAGGGGUAGCGGAACAUUGGGGAAGUUUCUUAUUAUGCCUUUAUAAGGCAUAAAAAUAAUUAACAACCCAAGCGAUAAUGCUGACAUGAGUAACGAUAAAGGGGAAUACCCUCGCCUAAAGCUUAUGGAAUUUAAUUAAAGUUACGGCCUCUAAGUUUAUUAUAUAUUUAAUGAAUAAUCUGUUAUUUAUUAAUAAUCCCAAAGGGGGUAAACGAUGAGCAAAUCUAAGAUUUAUAGAAAAUAUCAUUUUUACAUAGUGACAAAUGAUCUGGAAAACUGUAUAUCUCGUUAGCUAAAUAGGAAUAAACUAAAACAGAUGAUAUGNKUAGUGGAUGCUUUAACCGUACCCUAAAUACUACCCACAA
rnacentral:rRNA from 1 species